UAAUUAGUGAAUCUAAAAUAAUGUGUAAUACACAUGUGAAUGUAUGUAAUUAUAGGUUAAUAGUGUCAUCGCAUAAAAUUUGUAUUGUCAAAUAAUAAAACACCUGUUUCAUUAUGGACACUGACUCGACGUCGCAACCAUCCUUUUACGAUGAGACUAAAUAUGUUGAAGAACAUACAGCGGAGCUUCAAGAGAAUGUAAAAAUGAAUUUACAGAAUAUACUAACAAAUGCAAAAGACGUAGAUAAAAACUUUAAAAGACUACAAGAAAAGGUUCUUAGAACGGCUAAAAUUAUUGACGCAAUUUCAGUUAAAUCAAAGUUCAAUACAGAAAAUUUACCUUCUGAACACAAUAUCCACUGAUAUAAAAAUCUACAUUAUGUAUAUUAUGUGAAUGAAAUAAAAUUUUUAUACGUUUUUUUUAUAAAAAUACUGUCUUACAUAAUGUAAGACAUACAUACAUACAUACUAUUUGAUACCAAAUAGUUUUCCUUCAAAUAUAUCUGUAUUAAACAAAAUCAAUUAAAUAUUAAACAAAUAAACAUGAAACAAUUUCA